UACGUAGGGUGCGAGCGUUGUCCGGAAUUAUUGGGCGUAAAGAGCUUGUAGGUGGUUUGUCGCGUCUGCUGUGAAAAUCCGGGGCUCAACCCCGGACUUGCAGUGGGUACGGGCAGACUAGAGUGUGGUAGGGGAGACUGGAAUUCCUGGUGUAGCGGUGGAAUGCGCAGAUAUCAGGAGGAAGACCGGUGGCGAAGGCGGUCUGCUGGGCAGUUUCUGACACUGAUGCGCGACAGCGUGGGGAGCAAACAGG
rnacentral:rRNA from 1 species